AAGCUUUCCGUGGAAGUUUCUGAGAAGGUUCUUGUAUGGGAAAGUUACAAUCUUUCCGUUAGCGCAAAGGAUAUCAAACCAAAAAAACGAGGUGAUUGGCCAAUUCAUAUUCCUUGGCGAUCAUGGUGUCACACUUAUGGAUCAUGAGGCAAUCCUGGUUGUUGCAAUAACAAGAGGAAAACAGAUUAUGUGCUGCCGGCCAUAAAGAGUGCCACAAAGCGGAAAAUAGGUGUGCCUGAUGGCUAAAAAAAGUUUGUGCAAUUUCCUCUCAACUUCAGGGUGUUGUUGGAAAGAGUGCUACUAUGUACAUACUCAGGU